CCAUUUGAUUCUGUUUAGAAGAUAGCCACCGACUCCGAAGGGAAAGCUUCAGUGGCUGAUGGAGCUGUGACCUUUUGAGCAGGGUACAUUUGGAGCACAGAGCCGGGCAUAUAAUAUACAAGACAGCACAGGGUGAAGGCAGAGAGAGCGGUACCCCAGGACAGACCUCG
rnacentral:sRNA from 1 species